rnacentral:piRNA from 1 species
UACUUGUUCCAACACCAUCUGAUGGUCAAU